rnacentral:rRNA from 1 species
GAUGAACGCUCGCGGCAGGCCUAACACAUGCAAGUCGAGGGAGGAGCCUUCGGGCUUCGACCGGCGUACGGGUGCGUAACGCGUAUACAAUCUGCCUUUCACAUAGGGAUAGCCCGAAGAAAUUUGGAUUAAUACCUAAUGGUAUAUAGAUGUGGCAUCACCUUUAUAUUAAAGCUGAGGCGGUGAAAGAUGAGUAUGCGUUCUAUUAGCUAGCUGGAGAGGUAACGGCUCCCCAAGGCGACGAUAGAUAGGGGUUCUGAGAGGGAUAUCCCCCACACUGGUACUGAGAUACGGACCAGACUCCUACGGGAGGCAGCAGUGAGGAAUAUUGGACAAUGGUCGGAAGACUGAUCCAGCCAUGCCGCGUGCAGGAAGACGGCCUUAUGGGUUGUAAACUGCUUUUGCAGGGGAAGAAUAAGGACUACGCGUAGUUUGAUGACGGUACUCUGCGAAUAAGCAUCGGCUAACUCCGUG